AUGCAGUAUUUUUUGAGAGGCCUACUGUUUAGGGAGCAGAUUGAAGAAUAUAUUGCCAUUCAGAUAUGUCAAGGGCAAUAUAAAAGAAGGAAAACUGUUAAGAUAAUAGAUCAGACGUCGGGGAAAGUGAUCGCGAGGGGGCCUAAAGUAUAUACUAGACGACCUCCUACUUUGCCCCCUCUCAAUGCUGAUCCACCGCCUGAACCAGCACCAGUUACACUGCGUCGAUCCACUCGCAUGCAUCGAACACCUGAUAGGCUGUUAAGGACAUGUGUUGGGUAA